GUUGAAUGCGGACAAAUAAACUUAUUGAUUCGAAAGUAUCGUUAGCUAGGUUCAUUAUUCAAUAUGAAAACCAUCUGUCAGCUACACUGUUAAACUCACUUUGUUACACUGUAAUAUUAAGAUUAACAACCAGUACCAACUUGAACCGCCAGGAUGUUAAAAUCAGUGCGUCGACUAGCCGUGCUGAGCUCACACGUACAAAAUGUCAACAGGAAUAUGUGCUCAUCUGGCGCUACAGCAACGUCCGCCCGUGCGCCGAUCAUUUUCGUACAUCCGAAGUUCUGUUUGGUGGAUGAGAAGAUAACGAUUCGUCUGACGGGACUAGCGUCCAAUCAGAUUGUGACGUUUGUUGCUGAUGUCAGAGAGAACGGAAGUAUGUUCGAGUCGCGGUGCGUUUACCGAGCAGACGACAGCGGUGUCGUGGACAACUGCACGAGCGAGUCACUAGAUGGCACUUUUAAAGGCGUAGAACAGAUGGGCCUGUUCUGGAGUCUAAAAUCCGUGGGUGCGAGGGCAGCUAUGCGACUUGUGAAGAAAGACGUCACGCGGCCGAUGGAGUUCACUAUCCGUGUGUUCGACGGGAACCAGGCCGAAGCGCCGGAAGUCCUUUCUGACCCCCUCACUAAGACCGUGGUGCGCCGGACAUUUAUGGCACCACAUGUGAAACGUCUGCCCCUGAGGGAUGGCCGCUUUAGGGGAACGGUGUUUCUUCCAGAAGGCACGGGACCAUUCCCGGCCCUGAUAGACAUGUUUGGUGGCCUUGUGUCCCAGGUUGAGACGCGGGCUGCACUAUUGGCUUCUCACGGUUACGCUACACUAAGUCUCGCCUACUUGUACUCUGAGGGAUUACCGCAGAUGCUUAUGGACGUGGACAUCGACUACAUACAGGAGGCGUUUGAGUGGUUCUCACGGCUGGAGUACAUUGACGCCACCCGGCUUGGGGCCGUUGGGCUGUGUUUCGGAGGUUUCCUGGCCCUUACUCUGACAUCAAUCUUACCUCAGAUCAAAGCGGUCGUAAACAUCAACGGUAUAUCAAUUACUCCUGGUGAACAUUUUGGUAAAAUCGACAGUCUUGGAAAAGAAUGGCCGAAGAAGGAAGGAGUGGAGAUUACUGAGGAAGGACUCGACCUUACACCGGCGUAUGAAUGCAAAAAUCCCAGAGCUGUGCCUGCGUGGCAGCACGGGGCCAAGAUCCUAGUUGUAGUAGGGGAAGAUGAUAAGCAAGUCCAUCCCAAGUGGCACACGUUCUUCCAAGACAACAUACCUGCACAGUUCAAGGACAAUUUGCAGGUUAUACGUUACCCGGACACUGGCCAUCUUAUAGAACCACCACACAUGCCAUUCAUCCGAGCAAUAGAACCAGGCAGAAAACGUAUGAUGACCCUCGACUUCAUGCCAGAAGAGUUUAAAGCUGAUCUCGAACUCCCCGAGAUGUGCUCACAGACCAGUGACGUCAGCACUUCAUGUGUCAACUGGUAAAAGAGUGCACUCGCACUACACUCUCCCCCUGUUUCUUUUGUUGGGACGGCACCGGGGUCUGUAGAAGGCUGAUCAAGUCAAAAGUAUCUGACAAGAUCACUGCUAGGGCUGGUCCAACCAACGAGAAGGUCAUGUGUGGCGGCCACAUGGUGGCACACAGUCACGCCCAGGAAGACGCCUGGCGGAGAAUACUCGACUUCCUCAACAUGCACUUGGGCACUGGGUCAGGGAGUUGACAAACACAUGUGUGUAACAAAAUUGUUCAUGGUGCCAUAGUCUAGGGUUACUUUGCGAGGUAAUUUGUUCAAGUCAGACAUUCAAUGUUACAAUAAAUCCCGGUGUUGGCUGAACAUGCCGUUUCCGUAUUGAGAUGAGAGUAAUGCUUCAAAUUCCAUUUAGCAAAACAUGUAAUAAACAUUUUCUAAUAUACAAGAUUGUGUUUAUAAACUUUUAUAAAUAUUUAUUUUAUGUUUGUUGUUUUGUGGCGUUGGCCUUGAUUAUUGUGCCCCUAAACAAGGGAUAAGUUUCUUGGCUACAGGCUUGUUUCAGUAAUUUCAAUUGUUGUAUUAAAUAGAAUAGAAAAACAGAUCAGAUGUUAUCGACGGGGAUUUGUAUAAAAAAAUAUUUUAGGUUUGUGAUCUUAA